UACAGAGGUGGCGAGCGUUGUUCGGAUUGAUUGGGUGUAAAGGGUGCGUAGGCGGUUUGGAAAGUUGGAUGUGAAAUCCUAUGGCUCAACCAUAGAAUUGCAUUCAAAACUCCCGAACUAGAGUGCGAGAGAGGUGAAGGGAAUUCCCGGUGUAAGGGUGAAAUCUGUAGAGAUCGGGAGGAACACCUGCAGCGAAGGCGCUUCACUGGCUCGCAACUGACGCUGAGUGCACGAAAGCGUGGGGA
rnacentral:rRNA from 1 species